CAUGUGGUGGUUCUGGUGCUGGUUGUUCGAUUUCCUCAACAACAACAGCCGGGGGCCCCUGAAA
rnacentral:pre_miRNA from 1 species